CCGGAGCCCAGCAGGUCAAGCUUAAUCUGUACGCUUUCCCCUGCUACCUUCCCGGAUGCCAGCAGGUACCCUGCUACCUUCUCGGAGGCAGCAGGUCUGGUUAACCUGUUUUUCCCUACUACCUUCUCGGAGGCCAGCAGGUC